rnacentral:snoRNA from 1 species
ACCCUUCAUAUUUCUUAUCUCUCAAAUCUCAUGAAUGAUUUGGAUGGCUUAAAAAGGAGGAAAAGUGAAACGGAGGGAGAGCUGGAAUUGUUAGUGGCAUGCACGUUCAUUUUAAACAUAU